CCCAGGUAGUACCAAUGCUCAGCGGAAAAGAAGGAAUAUGAGGAGAUCCAUACCGUUGUAUUUUUGCUAUAACUGUGGUUUGUUCCUCUGUCACCGGAGCGAAAGCUUCAGCCCCCGCCUGAAAACGGCAAUGCAGAAAGACAAGUGGCCACUAGAUGGCAGCAGAUGGAAACAGCUUCAUUUGGAGGACGAAGCUUUGCCUGGGAGAUUGUUGCCAAGUCUGGAGCAGGGCCUUCUUAAGACCUUGGUGGUGGCGGAGGAGCGGAGACUGGGUUAUCGAGUCCAGGCACUCCCAUCAGCCUGUUAGGCGACUCAUUAACCCCGAAGCCCAAGACUUCUCAGAAUCACUUGUGAAGUGCCCCAAAAAUCUUGAAAAUGAAGGCAAAUAAUGUAGCCAUUUUUCACACAGAGAAACUGGAGUGAGCAUUUGGGAUGCAGCCUUACCUCUCCUGGUCCCCGUCUCUUUCCCAUAGAGUUGGCAAGAGUAAUAACAAGAUUCAUCCUGCCACUUUUUUUGCCUCCUCUUUUAGAACAUGACUCCAUGUUCUAGAAACCCUUGCUUGUCUGCCGGCCUUAGACCCUUAGCCUCCCGAACCUCAUUUAUCAUCUGUAACUUGAGGGACUGGAAUUGGAUGACUAAGGCCCCUUCCAUCUCUAUGGUUCUGCAGCUUUAAUUUCCCAAACCUUUGCCAGCCCUCAAAUAGCAUCCCACAGGACACUUCUUCCAACAAUAGCCAAACUCAACAGGAGCAAGCAGAAUUUCCUACUCCAGCGGAGAAUAAAUGUGGUCGUGGUUGGAGUCUUGCUGAUGUCUUUUGUACUCAGAGUGAAGCAAAGAGGGAGGCCUCGGAUGUCAUGGACACCAGCAGCAGGGCCUGGAGGUGGCCACAUUUUUUGUGAAGGACCAAGCAGG
rnacentral:lncRNA from 1 species